GGAGGGGGCGAGCGUUAUUCGGAAUUAUUGGGCGUAAAGGGCGCGUAGGCGGCUUGACAAGUCAAAGGUGAAAUCCCUCGGCUCAACUGAGGAACUGCCUUUGAAACUGUCUGGCUUGAGGCCGGGAGGGGGUAGCGGAAUUCCCAGUGUAGCGGUGAAAUGCGUAGAUAUUGGGAGGAACACCAGUGGCGAAGGCGGCUACCUGGACCGGUUCUGACGCUGAUGCGCGAAAGCGUGGGUAGCAAACAGGAUUAGAUACCCUGGUAGUCCACGCUGUAAACGAUGAGCACUAGGUGUCGUGGGUAUUGACCCCCGCGGUGCCGCAGCUAACGCAUUAAGUGCUCCGCCUGGGGACUACGGCCGCAAGGUUA
rnacentral:rRNA from 1 species